AGGUAUUCGAGUGGUCAGUAACGCUGGUGGUAUCAAUCCUCACGCAUGCGCAAAGGCAAUUCGCGACGUUGCUAAAAAGAGCGGUGUGGAAGAUUUAAAAAUUGCUGUCCUCACUGGUGAUAAUCUCUUAGGCAAAGUAAAUAAAUGAAUUUGUUUCACGUUUUUAGAUUUUGCAAAACAUUGUGCCCAAACUUCCACUGCGCUUCUUUAUUCUUUUGCAUUUUACUCUUUCUUUUCCGUCACAAGAUUGAUGAGAAUACACUUGGAGGAAUUAAAGAAAUGGACAGUGGGAUAUCAUUACCAGAGCAAAUGCACAGUAUGAACGCUUACAUCGG